GCCUCGGUGGCGAAAUAGGUAGACGCACGAGACUUAAAAUCUCGCGACCGAAAGGUCGUACCGGUUCGAUUCCGGUCUGAGGCACCA
rnacentral:tRNA from 16 species